UUAUUUAUUCAGAAUUAAAUAGGUGAGUAAUUCCAGAAUUGCUUAGCCAUACCAAUGUCACUGUAUAUUAGUUGUUUCACUGCACUGGUUUGGAUUCUCUCUCAACUUACCUGUUGCUACUUUGAAUAUAUAUUGGUUUAUUGUGGUGCCAAGUGGCAACGUGGGGGUGUCUGAUUCAACAGAAAUACAAAGUUGAGGGCAACUGAAGUGACAUAUGAAAGAAGCCAUGAUCAAGCUUGAUUUGCACUUGCUCUGUUUCUUCAUGUAUCUUUAUAGUAUGAUUUUAGCUGUGAUAAAUAACUGAAGCCAGAGAAGCUGAAUUUGGACUUAGGAUACACUACGUUGAACAGUUAAGGAGCCAGGGACUACUUACAUCAUCCUGGGAACUGUGACCAUAUCAUAUAUAUUUUAGUGUUUGAACAAGAUAGAUUUUUUGCUGUAUUUUUACCAUAUAAAGUAUUUAAAAAAUAACGGAAAAAUAUUACUGGUUCAUAUAGCAGAACUCUAUUCUCUUUAACCUGUACCUUUGUGAACUACAUUAUAUUUGAAUGAGUUCAGGCACACUUCCUUUGAAACAUAAUGGAUGGUAUGCAAAUAAUAUGAUUUUACCCAUACAAAAUAGAAGUAAUCUUUCUAACUAGUGGACCAGCUGCCUAAUUCCUGAGAGAGUGCUUAAUGUAAAGCUUUGUUAACAUUGUUCGGAUUUA
rnacentral:lncRNA from 1 species